UACGAAGGGGGCUAGCGUUGCUCGGAAUCACUGGGCGUAAAGCGCACGUAGGCGGCUUUUUAAGUCAGGGGUGAAAUCCUGGAGCUCAACUCCAGAACUGCCUUUGAUACUGAGAAGCUUGAGUCCGGGAGAGGUGAGUGGAACUGCGAGUGUAGAGGUGAAAUUCGUAGAUAUUCGCAAGAACACCAGUGGCGAAGGCGGCUCACUGGUCCGGUACUGACGCUGAGGUGCGAAAGCGUGGGGAGCAAACAGG
rnacentral:rRNA from 1 species